UACGUAGGGGGCAAGCGUUGUCCGGAUUUAUUGGGCGUAAAGAGCGUGUAGGCGGCCAGGUAGGUCCGUUGUGAAAACUCGAGGCUCAACCUCGAGACGUCGACGGAAACCAUCUGGCUAGAGUCCGGAAGAGGAGAGUGGAAUUCCUGGUGUAGCGGUGAAAUGCGCAGAUAUCAGGAAGAACACCAAUGCGAAGGCAGCUCUCUGGGACGGUACUGACGCUGAGACGCGAAAGCGUGGGGAGCGAACAGG
rnacentral:rRNA from 1 species